rnacentral:rRNA from 1 species
UACGUAGGGUGCGAGCGUUGUCCGGAAUUAUUGGGCGCAAAGGGCUCGUAGGCGGUCUGUUGCGUCAGGAGUGAAAACUCGGGGCUUAACCCCGAGCCUGCUUCUGAUACGGGCAGACUAGAGGUAUGCAGGGGAGAACGGAAUUCCUGGUGUAGCGGUGAAAUGCGCAGAUAUCAGGAGGAACACCGGUGGCGAAGGCGGUUCUCUGGGCAUUACCUGACGCUGAGGAGCGAAAGUGUGGGGAGCGAACAGG